UACUUCUGAAAAUGUUCUCUUCUCUUUCCAGACUGACAUCAUUGACCACAGUUUUGCAGUAGAAUGGAUGCAGGACUUUGAGACUUUUCAGGAUGCCCUGAAUCAAGAGACAUCCUAUGUCAGUAACCUGACUCGUUCUAUGAGUUUAGUGUUGGAUGAAUUUUACAGUUCACUGAAGGUGGUUGGUGUUUCUGCUGUGCUCGGCACAGGACUGGAUGAUUUUUUUGUUCAGCUUUCUAGAGCUGUUGAUGAAUAUGAGAGAGAAUAUCGUCCAGAAUAUGAGCGCCUGAGAAAAACACUGGAGAAAGCCCAAAAUAAACAAAAGAGAGAGCAGCUGGAACACUUGUGGAAGGACAUGGGCAGCGUCUGUGUGCAGAGCAACACACUUGCAGGGUCUGAUGAUGCUUCUGCAAUGGGUCCCUCUGAGCUGAUCCUAACACGAGGAACUCUUGAUGAAGAAGAAGAGAGGGAGAGUGAUACUGAUGACAUUGACCAUGAAGUUACUGAGGAGAGUCAUGAAGAACCAGCCUUCAGAAACUUCAUGCAAGAGACACGGAUGAAAUACCAGAGAAGAAGCAACCCGAAUGAAUGAGACCUUCAGAAACAGAGGGUUUGGAAUCCCUUGUAAUGGAGUUAAAAGUAAAGCAACAGCAUAAAGAAACUUGCAUGGGACAAUGCAUGAAGUCUUCUAUCUGCGAACAGCUUCCUCUGAUAUAUUUAUCUCUUUCUUCCUGCAGUAACUUUGGUCGUAUGAGUUGAAGGUCUCGUAUCCAACUGACUGCACAUUUGGCCAUCUGCCAUGGUGACUUCCUGAAGCUGAAGAAACCAGACAGCACUUUUGUUUGCUCCAAAUUCUUUAGAUGUGCCUGUUGAGAACUUAGAUUUUGAGCUGUCAGAAUUAUCAUCUAGAAUACUUACUGGUCUCCAAAACAGUGUUCUGUUCACCUUGUGCAGACAGCCCACCCAUAUGGAUGCACAGGAAAUGCAUCUUAAUUACAUUACACAGACACAGUACAGAUGCUUCCAAGGAAAGUCCUGAGUAAAGAAAGCUCCCAGGAGGGAAAGUAAUAAAAAGAAUCUGGCUUGGUUCAGCUGAGAACCGAAGUGUGCAUGGCUGUGUACUGGCUGCAUGUAUCUGUAGGUAACAUAAAAGAAAGGCAUUUCUACAGGUGAGUGCUUACGGGGAAUGUAGACAAGGACUUGGAGAUUGGCUAAUACUUAUUUUCCUGGUAGGCACCAUGAGCACAGAUGUUCACUUGCUGUCACCAUUCUGAACUCUGGAAUCUUUGUUUUCCUUCCCUCCAUACAAUGCCUCACUAGAGAGAUUUCUCAUUGGGAAUCUGGCAGCAGGGUCUGCUAGCAUGAGUUCUGUAGGUUUAUGGAAAAACAGUUUCUGUGAAAUUUAAAAGUAGAGCUGGCAGGGAAGGGAAAUAACAACCAGCUGUUAACAGCCAACUCUGAUAUGCGUACUGCUUUAUUAAUGUAGAGCUUCCCAAGAGUAUGAAGAUUUCAAAUUUAGAUAAGCUAGACUAAUCCUAGUAAGAAGUAUUAUCAGAAGCAAAGCUGAAACAAAGAUUUCAUAGCAUACUGGUAAGGUUAAAAUAGUACAUUUGUUCUUAAUCAUAGAAUAGUUUGGCUUGGAAGGGACCUUUAAAGAUCAUCUAGUCCACACCCCCCUCCCCCACAAUAAGCAGGGACGUCUUCAACGAGAUCAGGUUGCUUGGAGCCCCGUCCAACUUGACCUUGAAUGUUUUCAGGGAUGGGAUAUCUACCACCUCACUGAGAAACCUGUUCCAGUGUUUCGCCACUGUCCCGAUCCAAUGCCGGAGAGGUUUCGAUACAAUCCCAAAGACGAGAUUAAGACACCAAAUCCGGUCAAAUGUUGUACAACCUUUCAACUUUAUUUUCGACGCGGAGGGAGGAGGGAACCACGUGAGGAGGUAACAGAGGAGUCAGCUUCUUCCAGGAGGGUGUAUGUGUACUUGGGUCAGUCGCUCCGCCCUGGAAGAAGGAAGAACAGAAACAAACCCGCUCCUUGAGUCAGAAGGAAGGAAUAAUCCACUUAGUGUGCAUUUUAUGGACCUUCCCACUAGCAUCUUUUGCUUUCCAGGUGUAUUUGCUUGUCGGGACAUCUAAUGCCAAUGGUACAGCUCCCACGGUAGGGAGGUAACUAGAACAGGUUGUCCAGGGAAGUGGGAUGGUUUGUCAGGGUAAUCAGGGUUCUGUGAGGUAGGCACAAUUGUCGGGGCUUGGGGGCAAAACACCAUUUGUUCCCCUGCGACUAUUGACGCUGGUUCCUGCGUCUCCCACCCGCUCAGCCCAUCCAGGUUUGUGUGGUUGCAGGAAGCGUUUGAGUAACCCCUUUGUUCUUUCCAUGAUCCCAUUUGCUUGUGGGUAGUAUGGGGUGUGGAACACCCAUGUAAUCCCCUCCCGGACUGCCCAUUCCUGAACAAUCUUGGCUGUGAAGUGCGACCCAUUAUGGAUUGAAUUGCCUGUGGUUUGGGGAAGGUCCCAAACCAUUC